CGUUGGCGGCGUGCCUAAUACAUGCAAGUCGAACGAAGAGCUUAGAGUAGCAAUACCCUGAGUACUCUUAGUGGCGAACGGGUGAGUAACGCGUUGGUAACCUGCCCCAAAGAUAGGGAUAACAGUUCGAAAGGACUGCUAAUACCUUGUGUGGUCAUUUAGCUUAGACGCUUUUUGACUAAGGGAGCUUGCUCCGUUUUGGGAGGGGCCUGCGUCCCAUCAGCUAGUUGGUAGGGUAAUGGCCUACCAAGGCAAUGACGGGUAGGGGACCUGAGAGGGUGGCCCCCCACAAUGGAACUGAAACACGGUCCAUACACCUACGGGUGGCAGCAGUAGGGAAUAUUGGUAAUGUGCGAAAGCCGCGAACCAGCAACGCCGCGUGUGCGAAGAAGGCCUUCGGGUUGUAAAGCACUUUUCGGGAGGAAGAGGAAGGACUGUACUCCCGGAAUAAGUCUCGGCUAACUACGUGCCAGCAGCCGCGGUAAUACGUAGGAGGCAAACGUUAUCCGGAUUUACUUGGGCGUAAAGCGCGUGCAGGCCUGUUCGAUAAGUUGGGCGUGAAAGCUCCCGGCUCAACUGGGAGAGGUCGUUCAAUACUGUCGGACUAGAGGAUGGUAGAGGAAGGUGGAAUUCCGGGUGUAGUGGUGAAAUGCGCAGAUAUCCGGAGG
rnacentral:rRNA from 1 species